rnacentral:lncRNA from 1 species
GCUUGUCGAAUAUGCUUUUAAACAUACUCAUACUGUUUUAGUUCAUAUUACAGACUUCUGGAGAUGCACAACGAAUUAGAGUUAUCUUUCUUUUAAAUACAAAAAAAUGAUAUGGGUUUACAAGGACAACUUACUAUACAAAUCCUUGGGGUACAAAAUAAGAACUAUUUGCACCUUGUAUAUAGAUUUGUGCGUCCUCUAUCUUUUACUUACUUUAAUAAUAUUAUAAUUACAGUAACUGUUAAAUCAAAGAUAUAAAUCUUUAAUAAUCUCUUCAGUUAGCGAUACUCCAGAUAAACGAUUCUAAACAACAUGAGGAGGACGAAAUAUGCUUGUUGUUGCACUCGGAUUUGUAGUGUUUACCUGUUU